rnacentral:rRNA from 1 species
GUGGGGAAUAUUGGACAAUGGGCGAAAGCCUGAUCCAGCCAUGCCGCGUGUGUGAAGAAGGUCUUCGGAUUGUAAAGCACUUUAAGUUGGGAGGAAGGGCAGUAAGUUAAUACCUUGCUGUUUUGACGUUACCGACAGAAUAAGCACCGGCUAACUUCGUGCCAGCAGCCGCGGUAAUACGAAGGGUGCAAGCGUUAAUCGGAAUUACUGGGCGUAAAGCGCGCGUCGGUGGUUUUGUAAGUUCGAGGUGAAAACCCCGGGCUCAACAUGGGAACUGCCUGCAAAACUGCAUGACUAGAGUACGGGAGAGGGUAGUGGAAUUUCCUGUGUAGCGGUGAAAUGCGUAGAUAUAGGAAGGAACACCAGUGGCGAAGGCGACUACCUGGACUGAUACUGACACUGAGGUGCGAAAGCGUGGGGAGCAAACAGGAUUAGAAACCCGUGUAGUCC